rnacentral:lncRNA from 1 species
CUGUUUUCUAGGUAACCCAGCUACGUUGGCAGUCAGAUUUAAAUAAAACAUAAUUCUUGCUCUGUCUUAUCUAGCCUAAUUCCCUUAUUUGACAGAGGGAGCUGAGUCUCAGAGAAGUUAAGUGGAGGAGCUAUGUCUAUUCAUUACUGUAACAAAUAGUUAACAAGCAUCCGUUAUGUGCCAGGCGUGAUUCUAGGCACUGGCAAUGCAGUGGUGAAUAAAAUGGACAAAAAAUCCCUGCCUUUAUGGAACACAGCAUUCUAUUGGAGGAGAAAAAGACCAUAGACAAGGUUCAUGUUGGCUAUGUUGGGGACAACUUUAGAAGAGGAAAGGCAAAAGCAGAGGCACCCUUGAUCCAGGUGAGAAAUAAUGGUGGCUCGGACCAGGGUGGUAGAUAGCCUCCUAAUAUUCCAGUUUAUUGCUCCCUGCCUCCUCCCUCUUUCUCUUCUCACUUUCUCAAUAAACAUUAACAGGGCCCUUACUAUGUGCUAACCAUUGUAUCAGGUGCUGGGUAGACUCCAACGAGUAUGACCCACUAGGAGUCUGGUCUAGUUCACUUAUGAUCCAAGCUGAAGAGAAUUGCAGAGAACAGCUGCUGACUUGGAAGGCAGACUUUGUGACAUCCACGUGGAGCUCUGGGGCAGUUGUCAGCAAAUGCCAUCUACUCAGACAUUAAUGAAAGCACAGAAUGAGCACUGGGUGGCUGAUAUUUCCAUCUGUCCAGCUCCACAAGCCAAAAACUAGGAAGUCAUCUUUACUGCCUCUGCCUCCCUGACCUCCACAUGCUGCCCCCACCACCCCCAUCUAAUCAUCCCAGUUACCUGUAAAACUUCUCUUGAAUCUGUUCACAACUCUCUACCUCUAUAGUAAUAACUCUAGUCCAAGCUAUGAUCAUUUCCCACCUGGUCCCUGUUGUCACUCUGUGGCCUGCGAUCUCUAUUAGUCAGGAUAUAUAGCCAAUGCUGCAGAAACAGAAAGCAUGACCUCUCAGUGGCUUAACACAAAGAAGGUUUCUUUCUCACUUAAGCAAAAGUAGGUGGGGUGAUGCUCCUCCAUCAGUCUAACUACCUGUAUUUUUUCCAUAGCAAUUAUCAUAGUUUGUAAUGAUAUAUUUAAUUGUAUGCUUAUUGGAUUAGAUUGAUUUUCGUUGUUCUCACUAGGAUGUACGCUACCUGAUAGUAAGGCCUACACCUAGAACAAAGCCUAUAAUAUAGCAAUAAUCCUUGAAAUAUUUUUGAAUGAAUGAAUGAAUGGAUAAAUGAAGUGGCUAAACUAUAACUGGAAAACAUUUAAUUGUCCUGAUCUAAAAAAUUAUAAAAUAUUUCCUGUGUAAAAAAUCAUUGUAAUACAUAUGGAUAUUUUAAGCAUAACAAUAAAAAAAAACUCAUGUAUCACCAAUUCAAAAAGAUAACACAUUACCUCUGCCCUCUGUGUGUCCCUCCCUGAGCAUGUCUUAGUCCUAGAGCUAAACAAUAGGUUACAUUUUGUGUUUACCAUUCUUCUUCUUUUUUUG